rnacentral:rRNA from 1 species
GCGAGUGAAGCGGCAAAAGCUCAAAUUUGAAAUCUAGCACUUUCAGUGUUCGAGUUGUAAUUUGAAGAAGGUAACUUUGGUUUUGGCUCUUGUCUAUGUUCCUUGGAACAGGACGUCACAGAGGGUGAGAAUCCCGUGCGAUGAGAUGCCCAAUUCCAUGUAAAGUGCUUUCGAAGAGUCGAGUUGUUUGGGAAUGCAGCUCUAAGUGGGUGGUAAAUUCCAUCUAAAGCUAAAUAUUGGCGAGAGACCGAUAGCGAACAAGUACAGUGAUGGAAAGAUGAAAAGAACUUUGAAAAGAGAGUGAAAAAGUACGUGAAAUUGUUGAAAGGGAAGGGCUUGAGAUCAGACUUGGUAUUUUGCGUUCCCUUCCUUUUUGGUUGGGUUCCUCGCAGUUUACUGGGCCAGCAUCGGUUUGGAUGGUAGGAUAAUGACAUUGGAAUGUAGCUUUACUUCGGUGAAGUGUUAUAGACUUUGUUGAUACUGCCUAUCUAGACCGAGGACUGCGUCUUUGACUAGGAUGCUGGCGUAAUGAUCUUAAGCCGCCC